CACACCGCCCGUCACACCAUGGGAGUGGGUUGCACCAGAAGUAGCUAGUCUAACCUUCGGGAGGACAGUUACCACGGUGUGAUUCAUGACUGGGGUG
rnacentral:rRNA from 1 species